CGGGACUGGGAUUGAUGUAAUCAAUGGACCAUUGAUCCACUGGAAUAGCCGUAACCGAAAUGAUGGGCACACGAUAUUCAUCCGUAAUGUCAGCCUGGAGCGGAAACACAAUUUAUGGUUAUACUUCUGCAUAUAAUGCCGUGGCUAAAAU